AGACUGUGAGCUCCUCAAGGGCAGGGACCAGGGCUUGUUUUUCUUUUUAACUGCCCCAGCACCUAGCACAGUUCCUGAUGCACACAAACAUUUAUUGAAUGACUACCGUGUGUCAGGCACUGGGAAUACAGAGACACUGAGAUUGGUCCCUGCUGUUGAGGAACUCACAGCCUAGG